AGCGGCGAGGAAAGCGUUUUCACCCAGGACUCCUUGUGCCAGCGGCUUCAAAAAGGAGUGGCAGCACUGGUCUCCCAGUGUCCCUCUAUAUUUUGAAGAGAUGAAAAGAUGCCCGCUUUCUCCAGACACACUGUGGGCCUAGCACAUGGCAGGUGUGGGCAAAGAUUGCUGGUCAAUUGAAAGCAGGAUCAGCUACUGGGGGAAGCAUCUAUAUAGAUGGUCAGAAGCUUUAUGAAAGGCAGUGGACAGCCAAUCCUGCACAGAACAGGAACAAAGAUGGAGACAACAGGCUAGCUCAGUUGGCUAGUCCACAGUGAGAUCGUGACUGGAGUCUGUCCAUCAAAGCCUACUUGCAGUCAUUUUAAUAUCGUAUCUUUUAAUAUGAAUGUAUGGUCAGAAUAUCAUUUCUAUAGGUACCAGUCAGUGAGACCCAAAAGGUAAUUAUGACAGUCCAAAUAUUAUCUUUACCUAUGCUGUCUUUUGCUAUCACCACGCCGUUCAAACAAACAUCAACAUUUAUGUAUAUGAUUUUUACAUGUAGAGAGAGGGAGAGAGUGUGCAGUUUGUUCCCCCUUUUGUUGCCUUUCAUUCACUCUUUGCAUGAAUAAUAAUAGGAUGCAGCCUAUAGUUCUUUUCAAGAGUGACAAUCUGUUGCAGAAUGGCAAAUGUCCACCCUGAGCCUGGCGCUGCAGGAAAUCCGGCAAUGGGCUGAACCGCUUGCCUUGGUUAUCUCUGAAUUUAUACUCCUCGGUGCGAUCCUUGGCAUCUACAUGGCAAGCUGCCUCUAAGGAGCCUCUGCUAUUUCAUGUGGCUGAAAGCUGAGGCCCAAGCCAGUUGCCACACAGGAAUGUCCCCCUUUAUGCAGACCUGCUCCCUUGCCCAUAAACGAAAUCUGCUCAUUUUCUCCUUCCCUGGGUCAGAUGACCAAGGGCCAAAACAGGCAUCUCUUUACAUCCACCGUAUCUAGCAGUCACACUGUUUAAAAAUUGUGGGGGCCCCGAUUUAAAUCUUAACAGCCCUCUCGCACCCCACACUAGGGUCCCAAUCUGGAUAGAGGGCAUUGCACCUGCUGUCAUGUAAACACGGGGGAGCAGGGAAGACAGCUGCUAGGUAGGGAUGUGACGUAAUGUCUGCUUUCUCUGCACGGGCGUUUCCAAACAGAGAGCCCCCCGCAUAACUAAUUCGGUGGCCCUCUGCAGCAGCCCCACCUUGUUCUCCUGAAAGGGUUUCCUGCUGUAAGAAAAAUGAUGGAAGAAGUAGAUGCGAAACAGAGGCGAGUGCCAUACAGAAAGACAUUGCCUGAACCACGCCGUCCCCUCGUAACAGUCCAGGAAUGGGCACGACAAAAGACCGCUCCAAAACACCCUCAGUCACAGGACACCCCUGUGAGGUCGGCUGAAUGGCCGCAGAAGCGCAUCCCAGCUAUGUCAAAGCAAGCUGCUCAGAUCCUCGCAGUCAAGAAGACCUGAGCGGUCUGGUUAGAGGACAUGUUUGUUUGGCCGAGGGCAAAGGAGCUAGCAGAAGGUAUAUGUAGGAUGCGUUCCCCGAUGCAACUGAAAAUCAGUUCUAUACCAGUUUCAAUGCGAUUGCUUCUCCCAGCGUUCCUGGGAAUUGUUGAUUUAUAUCCCACCUUUUUUCUUACAAAGAGCUCAAACUGGUUUACACCGUUCUCCUCCAGCUUUCACUCUUAUCCCAACAACAACCUUGUAUGGUUGCACUUAGGUUGCACUUUGAUUCUGUGACUGGCCCAAAGUCACCCAUUUGGCUCCAUGGCUGAGAGGAUACUAGAAUCCUGGUCAUCUGAGUCCCAGUCCCAUGUGCUUAACCACUAUACCACACUGUUUCUCAAUUGUUCAGAUUGCUGAUGACUCCCGACAAUUGAGCUGGAAAGAUCGUUACUGCUCUCCUCCCCUGUGUGUGCAUGCAUGUGUGAAUUCACUCGCACAGGCAGAGAAAGUAUGAACGUUCUGCUAAUCACACAUAGCAGAGCUGUGCAUGAUUGGCCUACUUACCUCCAAGUAGACACACGUGGCCCCAGCUGAGAUCAGAAUCAUGGCAAUUCAGGAAGGGGGGGUUAACGUUUCUUCCUCCCAUUUUUGUGUUGAAAUCCCCCACCCCAUGCAGUGGGGUUAACUCCAGGUAUUCACAUGUGCACCACAGCCACACAGCAAUAUAAAGCUAAGCAUGCAUAAACUUAUUCUAAUAUAUAGACUUGAGUGUGUUUCACAUCAUGUUGGAGGGGCUGUAGCUCUGUGGCAAAGCUCAGCUCCUACAUGAAAACGGUUCCAGGCUCAACCUAUGGGAUCUCCGGGGAGAACUGGAAAAGACUUCUGCCUGAAAGCUUGGAGAGCUACUGCCAGUCAGUGCCAGCACUACUGGCCCAGUGGUCUGAAUUGGCACAAGGCAGCUUCCUAGAUUUCUGCGUCUUUAACUGACCCCAAUAUUCCUGGCAUUGGCUUCUGCUCGGCGUGGCUUAGGCUCCCUUCUCCAGGGUUAGGAAGAAGGCUGCAGUGGAAAAAGAAAAUUUAAAUGCCACUGUCCACAGCUGGCUCCGGAAGUCUGCUUUUCAUUUUUCCUUUUUAUGUUUGCAGAGAUUUAUCUCCUUUGGAAACUAUUUGGGCAAUGACGUUUUGUCCUUUAGUUCUGCCUGUUACAGCAGCUCAUUCCCAAGCUUGGCUGUAGUUUCUUAUUUCCCAACCCAAAUCUAUUCUCAGUUGAAAGAUAAUGUUGUGUUUGGCAUGGUUUCGGAAAUGCAGAUCUUAGAGAUUUGGACUUGUGGUGAGCUUUUCAAAUGAUCUCAAGUCUUGGUAAGUCAGAAUCUCCUACUUUUCUCCUGGCCAUGGAUUUGAAGCUUUAGAAAAUUUCAGCACCCUAGCAGAAAUACAGCUUUGGCUUCUACUGGAUGCAGAGCAUUUCAAAAUGCAGUUGCUGGUAAUGUCAGAGCAAGGAGAUGCAUUUGCAUGGACAAGAGUGCAUGUGUUGGUGUGAAAUUAAGCCAUCUAGAAAGCCUGCUGGCCUCAGGAGAGCCUCUGGUGCAAAGCACUUUGUCAGUCUGUUAACGCAGCACCUUCUUCAGCAUCUGGUGAGUGCUGGGAGAAGCAGGCCUGCCAUUGCCAUCCCUCCCACUCGACUGCAAGCCAAUGGGUUCUUGCCUAUUUGGCUUAACAGAUGUGCUGAGUGGAAACAUGAGGCAAUGGAGAGCUUGUUCCUCUAGAAGGGCCCUUGCAUCCCCGCUCGCUCUCCCGCUCCUCUCCGCCGCACACGGGCCUCCCUCCAUGACACCUCUCUCCGCACUGGCUCUGCCUGGUGGAGGAGGUGGGAGAGGGAGUUGCUGCACUGUCGGUUCUGAGCACUGGGCAGAGCGCAGAGGGGAAGGAGCGGCUGCCAAAAAGCCGGAUGAAGUUUUGGUCCUGGAGCUGCCAUCUGCUUCUUGUCAGGUUGUUGUGCAGAGCUUGUUCCUGGCUGUCAGAUGACGGAGGUUGCUGGACUGCAGCGCCAGAUCGCGGCUAUGACAGAUGCUCUGCCUGCCAUGCCUCAUGCCUCCGAGGCAGGAUCACACCGUGCGUCCGCUUUUGCUGGGAAAGGUCUGGCUGCUUUGUUGCUCACCUCCUUCCCCAGCACACGAUGCCUAGAUGGUCGUUUUCUCUGAGAGACCUCACCAGUGCCACUGAGGCCAGCCCAAGACAUUUUGCUGCCUGAAGAGGCAAAGGGCAAGAUGUCUGCCUGUCUCUGUCUCUCUCUCUCACACACACACCUAUCUCCAUUCAGGAACAGCUGGACUUGCAGUUCCAUCUUACUUGUCACCAGUAAUGGGGUCCCACCACACCUGACCUGACAGGCUAGCUCAGGGCGCAUGCACACCUCUGUCCUCCCCCAGUGAAGGAUGGCCCCGGAGUUCAGUCAAGGGGUUCCCACUGUUGUCCUCCAGCUGCUGCUGCCUGAGGCAAUCCCUUCAUUCUGCCUAUAGGUAGGGCCAGCCCCGAGUGGUAGAGUGGGCAGUUCUGAUGGGCAGGAGUCUAUCACAACAAUCCCUCCCCAUCCAGUGCAACUGCAGUCUAUGUCACCUUUCCCUGAGCUACACAGUACUACCUUGCUUUUCAAUGCUUCUUUGUUGGUCACCCUCUCAGCCCAUGAAUUUUAUAGCAUCCUGCAAUAAAUCCAGAUUUCAAAUGCCUCCACCCUUUUUAAAAGGUUACUCUGUGUUAAAGGCGAUGAUUCUAUGCCCCACAGUAAAACUGAAAAUAUGCAACACCACACAAUGUACAGUCUCAAGGCCAAUUUUAAGUUUGUUAUACUUACACGCUUCAUCUUAAAAAAACUACUCCAAGCCAUCUCUGUUCUAACUUUUAUUGCAUUAGGAUGAUCCCACUGUUCAUUCAACCAAACACCAAGAUAUGUUUAUUCAUCAACUUACUCCACAUUUACAUUUUAGAUUUUUAACUGCAUUUCUUGCACUACUUGUUUUUUAAUCAUUACCAUGCACUUGGUUUUUCUUAACAUUCAUUUUUAGACAGUGCUCUUUACUUCACUAACUUUAUCAAGUAAGCUCUGCAGAUCAUCUAAAUCAGUGGUCUCCAAAUUUUUUCGAGCUACUGCCCCUUUCCCUCUUGGGCAACAACCCUAGCACCCCCUUGCCUCGUUCUUUGUUCACUGCUCUGCUGCAAAUAAAAACCACCAAGUAUAGCCCCCCUGAAUCUUUUUACCACCCCCAGGAGGGCAGUACUGUCCAUUUUAGGAAUCACUGGUCUAAAUUGUAAGCAAAUAAUGCUGUCAUCACUGGCUUCGCAAAUGCCAUAGAUAACCUCUCCAUUAACGAUGAUACCCUCAUUUUUAUCAGCAAGUACUUCUUUAAAGAUGCUUUUUGGAAUACAAUAUUAAAAGCAAUGUUAAAUUUACUGUAAAUUCUACUGUAGAUUAUUUUGUAAGAAAAUGGCCCAUCAAACUGAUUGUUCUGCAAUUGCUACAAACUUUAGCAUUUGCCUUUUUGGGUAACAUAGUUGACCCUAACCAAAUUUCAGGAUUUUCAGAUCUGUAGAUUUGGUUGAACAGAUCCACUGAAGCAUUUAAAUAAUCCUCUUCUAAUAAUCCUAAUAUUUUAUGAACAUGUCAUCUGAUGCAGGAGCUUUGCUAUCUCUUAAUUAUUGAUAAUGCAUUUCAAAUUUCAGUUUUCUGCAUUUCCAGUCCAGUAUCAUCCUUUAAUACAAUAACUUCUGACCCAUUAUCUUCAAGCAAUUCUUUAAUGUAAAUCACUUGAUACUACAAUUUAAUCCUUGACAUCAAGGAUAUUCCUGUUUAUCAGUAGUGGCUGUUGCUUUUUAUGUCAAUACUUGUUGAUUCCUUGAAUUUUUUAUGUACAUUGAAGGAAACAUGGAUCUUUUCCAGACUUCCUAUUUCUCUACUUUGUUCGCCCCACCAUUUUUCUUGAGCUUCCUGAUUCUAUUUUGGAUGUUCUUUUGUACUUCAUUAUAUUAGAUGUCAUCUCUAUUUUUUCAUUUUCUUCUGUUAGUGCUAAUAAUUCUUCCACCAUCCACUUCUUCCUUUUUAAUAUGCAUUUCCUGCUUUUAAGGUUGUUUUUGAUCACAUCUACUAAUACUUCCAUUAAUUUAGAACAAAUGAUACUUAUAUCUAAACUAUUUAUAUAGGCAAUCUCAUGGAUACCUAGGUAGCAUCUAGCAAGCAUAAUCCAUUAGCCCCAGUAAAAUAUAUAUGCAUAUAAAUUUGACAACAAAAAAGGCUAUAUCCUUGCAAGAGCAAGAAAAAGAAGGCAACAAUUCCAUGCACACAAAACAGCCCACCAGUCCUUGCUCUCGCUUUGGCAGAAUCUCCACUGAGCUCAGAAAGAAUGUCUGACAUAUCUACAAAACCAGCGCAAAUCUGCUUUUAUUCUGAGCACCAACAGAUCCUGGCCAAAUGUUAUGUCAUUGCCCUGGAUGACACUUCCAAGACAGGCUAAUAAUAUUGUACUGGAUUUAAGAGAAGUGCCCCAGUCUCUGCCCUGCUUGCACCCCCCUCCCCUCACACACCAUUGGCUACCAUGCAAAUAUUGUAUUUAUUACUUGUUUAUCCUGUCUUUCCUUCAUGGAGCUCAGGAAUGUGAUCACGGCCAUUACCUUAAUCCUCACACCAGCCCUUAGAGGUAGAUUAGACUGAGAGAAUUGUCCUGCAAUCACUCAGUAAGAUGAGGACUUGAAUCUAGGUUUCCCCAAUUUACAUUAAUCUGCUAAU